GGGGACUGUCCUGGGUUGCUCCCUCAAGGAAUCCCCUUUCCCUCACUUUGAUCUCGAUGACUCUGAAAAAGACAAUUUGCAGCUGACAAGUGGAAUGAUUAUUCACUGCAGUUGGUUUGUCAGGGGCCCAGUCAAUAGAGCAGGACGAUGAAACUGUUGAUUCAUCAGCUGAAAUGGUCAGUUGGAUCACAGCAAGCACUGGAUAAUCCAGGUAGGAUGGGUGGUAGACACACACCUCACUGGGUCAAGGAUGAGAUCCAGGGGGCAUUUUACCCUCCUGUCUCCUCCUGCCUCUCUCCCUGCCCAUCUCUGAAUUCCUGGGACGUGGCUGUGCAUCAAGGCAAGUUAUUCACCAUUUUGGGGAGUGAACUUCCUUGCUGCUCCUUACUUGGAAGAGCACUUGCCCUAACAGAGCUCGUUGCCCAACUCUGCUGAAAUGAGCAUUAUCAGGUUAAGCCCUGGAGCAGCCCCAGAGCCUCAGCACCAGGGAAAUAACCUUGCUUUGCCAUGGCAUCAUUUUAUGUGCAGACAAGAAUUAAGCCACGAGUGUUUUACAGAGCUCCUCAAAUCUGAUUCAGCUAAACACUGCAGUGUGAAUUUUGCUGGUGAAUGAACUCAAACCAAACCUGCACAAACACCCACUGUCUCUCUUCACUCUCCACCUACUCUGGCUCCAAUUGUUUUCUGCUUCUGUCCCAGAGCCAGCGGAUCAUCUCCAAGGACACACACAUUAUAAAGCUCCUGUUCCUAACAGAAUGCCUGGUUACUGGAAAUUAGGAGUCCUGUUUGCCCAGGAAUCCUGCCCAGGCAUGAAGCAGCAGGGGCAGAGCACCCCGUGCCUCUCACCAUCUCCACACAACAGCACCUGAAACUGGUGAUCCUCCUGCAGUGCCAUCGUGCCAGGCCAGAUCACAAACCUCACUAAAGACUCAAACAGGAUUAAUUUUUUGUAAGAUUAAAAAGAGCAAGAAGCAGAAAUGGUUUUAAAUCAGCCCCAGACAGCAGGUCAAGCAGCAGUUCUGGGGUUAGAUCCGUGUCAGAGAGCUGGAGCCACA